GACAGAGGGUGCAAGCGUUGUUCGGAAUUAUUGGGCGUAAAGGGCGCGUAGGCGGCUUCAUAAGUCAGAUGUGAAAUCCCGGGGCUUAACCCCGGAAGUGCGUCUGAUACUGUGAAGCUUGAGUCCUGGAGAGGGCGGUGGAAUUCCCAGUGUAGAGGUGAAAUUCGUAGAUAUUGGGAGGAAUACCGGUGGCGAAGGCGACCGCCUGGACAGAGACUGACGCUGAGGCGCGAAAGCGUGGGGAGCAAACAGG
rnacentral:rRNA from 1 species